AGAGGCAGCUCUUGUUUAGAAACAAGUUCUUACUCAACUGACUGCAAAUAAAGAAUUGAGCAGAAAAUGCAGUACUAAGUCCACAGCACUCCAAGGUAAACCAACAGGCCACUGCUUCAGUGACAUUCCUGAGGAGAAAGACUACACAGGGAAAUGUAUAACACAGAAAUCAUCCUUUCAAGUUGUCAUUGCAAUUUAUCUCUGUACCCCUACCUGCACAGCUGAACAUAUCUGUGGUACAUAGAAUAAGUUGACAGAAUGGCAGCUCCACCUCUACCACAUUUUUUCCUGUCUGUGCAACUGGUCUGAAAAAGUCC